AUUGAACGCUGGCGGCAGGCCUAACACAUGCAAGUCGAGCGAGCGGCGGACGGGUGAGUAAUGCCUGGGAAUUGCCCAGUCGAGGGGGAUAACAGUUGGAAACGACUGCUAAUACCGCACACGAUUGGAUUGCCCAGGUGGGAUUAGCUAGUUGGUGAGGUAGUGGCUCAACAAGGCGACGAUCCCUAGCUGGUCUGAGAGGAUAGUCAGCCACACUGGAACUGAGACACGGUCCAGAAUCCUAGGGGAGGCAGCAGUGGGGAAUAUUGCACGAGGGGUGAAAACCUGAUACAGCCAUUCCGCGUGUGUGAAGAAGGCCUUCGGGUUGUAAAGCACUUUCAGCGAGGAGGCGUUACUCGCAGAAGAAGCACCGGCUAACUCCGUGCCAGCCGCCGCGGUAAUUC
rnacentral:rRNA from 1 species